GGCGCGGUGUUCCGGCGCUCGGGUGCCGGGCGGCCGUGCCGCGUACGGUAGGCGCGGUGUAUUUUUGGGGUUGGAUUCGUGUUGAUUUCUGGGGGCUUCCAGGUGCGGCCGCUCCCCGAGAAGCGAGACCGUGCUGAGGACGUGGUUGUCUGUCCUUCCCCCGGGGAUGCCGUUGACUGCGACCGUCUCAGGCUUGCGUGGCUUCUCUCUGCCCGGCGUUGCCAUCCUCGCAGCGCGGGGGCGAAAAGGGACACACAGAGCCCUUCCCGGCUGUGGACAGGAGCUGCCUCGGCUGAAGCUGGAGACGCCAACGAAAGGUGGAGGACGGCCUAGAGUCUGGAGCUGCAGAAGAGGCAGGGAGGAGAGAAGGGGAAAGAAGCAUCUGAACGGCUAAAUUGUGCCAGCAGCGCUGAGAGCGAGAGUCGCGUUUGACGCUUCGCUUCAGGCUUCAUUGAGCCAGGCAGCAAGACGUGCGGCGGCAGGGCGAGGGCUGUAGCUGCUGCGGUGGAUCUGUAAGCGGAGGUUCCGGUUACGGUACAACUUUGCCCCGCAGCCUCACGGGGUUAUCUCCCCGCAGCGGUGCCGUAAGGAAGGGAUGAGACGUUUUCCAGCACCAGCCAGAGUGUUCAGUGUUACGCGAAGAAUCUGUUCAAAAUGAUGUCUUCUCAGUGUCUCGUGAUGCUCAAGAGAUGCCCCCCGGCCCGGGUUUGCCUGCCGGUCAUUAAGCGUGGUGAAGCUGAAAGUUAAUUGUUGCGGAACGCUUAUCUAGCCGCUGUGUAAAAUAAUUAGCAAGGAGGCCUGGAAUCCACUUGCGAAGGACAAAUUCUUGAGAAGGAUAGAAAAUUGUCUAAAGAACCAGGUAAAACAGUAGUUUGGACAAGUGUCAAGAGAUAACUGAGUCUGCGCAAAACCAAAAGGUUACUAGCGGUGAUGAAGAGGAGCCAGCAGCCUUCAUCUUUACUACCCCCGAUCACCACCACGAGGAGGCACUGUGCAAGCUCAGUUGGGAAAGAUUUAUGGAAACUACUUUUUUGGCUAAUUUAAUACGACGUGGGGAAAGGUCAUGCAUAUCUAUAGACGUAUUGGGAAAUUGUAUGUAUCUGUAAUGCUUUACUAUAUAAAUGGAAGACAAACUAUCACACAGGCGCGCAUGACUUUGGUGGGACUACCCCCCGUGCUGAACAAACAUACCUACUUCACAAUCUUACAGAUUGUGGAGUCCGCUUUCCGCACAUCAGGUAGGUGGGCUGGGGAGUGACAAAACAAACACACACCACAAAAAAACCCUACAAAAAACUCCAAAUGAAGAAACCCAUGGACCAGCCACUCUCAUCCACAAAACAAACUGAAAAUGACCAAUUUUUGUGGUUCAAAAACACACACACCCCCACUUUAUACAAUAUUUUUGAAGAACAACCCCAAGUUUUAUAUUAUGGGGAAAAAAAAAAAGGACCCAAAACACCAAUCCCCAAGAAACCCAGCAAAAUGGAAAACAACACAACCCAAAGAUAACAAAAAAGAAACAAAGCAAUAAUUGACCAACCCAACCCUAUUAAAAAAAACACCAUGAAAAUCCUAAUUUGGGGAUUACUAGGUGUGAAACACCUGCAUUUGGAAGGGCAUUUCUGGGGCUUGUCUGGAAUGGGUUUCCUGCAGUGCAUCAGUUAUCUGGAGCGCAUCAUCAUCUGCUGCAGGUUAUCCCAGGUGAGUUGCCUGUUGUGGAUUAUCCUGGGGGGACCCCCUGGUGUCAGUCAUCCCCAUGCACGUUCCCCAUGGCAUGUCUGCCCAGACAUGCCCCUGUCCAGCAGUGUCUGUCUCCUCCCCCACCCUUCCUCUGCAUGUGUCUGUGCCCUCCCUUCCACUGAAAUGGGCCUCCUGCAUGAGGUUUUCUCCUGUGUGGGUUUUUUCUUGGUGACAUGCCCUCACUUACCCUGCUCUCCUGUUGUGUGCUCGCUGAAGCCUUGUGCUUACGCAGGAUGAGCAGAGCAGGGUCCUGGCAGUGCAGAGGCGAGGCGCUGCCAAGCCAACGAAGCCCAAGGCUCAGCAGCGCACAACUCCUUUGCAGGGCAGCCGCUGGCAUCUGGUCUGCCUGGCUGCCCUGUGCCCCGACGCACAGCUGCCCCCCUCACCCCGGGCAGCCUGCCUUCAGAAGGGCAGCUGUGUUCCCCUGAUUUUACUCCUUCAGGUUUGACACUUUGGGCUUCAUUGAGUAAGCAUGAUGUGCAGCAGCAGCAGUGAAAGAGCUGUAGCUGUGGUGGUGAAUCGGUA